rnacentral:ncRNA from 1 species
AGAACUAUUGAAGCGAAGAAUGGAAUGAAGGGCAACGCCUUAAACGCUAACGCUUUCUUUGGGACUGCGACAUGCGAGACGGGAGCAACGUCCAAAUUGUAUGAAUCUCGCAGAAGCCGCCACAGAGCUACCAUAACGGAGCGCCAAUUUCUCCCAUGAAAGCAUUGUAGUGGUGGGAUGUAUAACCUAUAUGCCGGAAGUUCU